rnacentral:lncRNA from 1 species
CCUCCGCAUCCGCUAGGUUGUCCUGCUCCUGAGGAGAUGGGGAGGAGCGGUUAAAGAGCCACCCGCGGAAGUCCCACUGUGCACUCGCUUGCUAAGGAGCUGCGGCUGAGAGGUGGUGUAGCUGGGUGCAAGUCCAUCUGUGCCCACUAGGGAGCAGCACCGAGGACCAUUUCCUGGGUAGAUGUUUCCUCACUGCCGGCUGCGUGGGAGGGAGGUUUCCCAGGCUGGGUGGGUGUUUUAUAACCCUCAUGUCUGUAUCUUCCCCGGAGCAUCAGCCUGGGGCUGGCGUCCAAGUGACAUUCAGAACCUAUGCUGGGCAGGGUCUGAGGAGACAGCUCAGUGGUUAAGAGCACUGGCUGCUCUUCCAGAGGACUCCGGCUUAAUUCCCAGCACCCACAUGGCCGCUCACAACUGUCUGUAAUUCCAGUUCCAGGGGAUCCGACAUCCUCACACAGACACGCAUGUAGACAAAAUGAUGCACAUAGAAUAAGAAUAAAUUAAAAAGAACUGUGUUGGGGAGUUCCAGACUUUGACCCCUGCCCUCUGGAUAUGACCCUAUUAUCUGCCUCAUAGAUCCGUGUGUCCCUGAACUUGCAGGGAAGGCUGGGCAGACAUUGGGCCUCCUCUCCAGGUAUUUAUUUCAAGAGUAGGGAGAUAGCACAGAAGGUUGAAGUGCCCAGAUCACUCCAGGGCUGCCCUGGCCACAGUCUGCUUUCCA